rnacentral:rRNA from 1 species
CCUACGGGAGGCAGCAGUGGGGAAUAUUGGUCAAUGGGCGCGAGCCUGAACCAGCCAAGUCGCGUGAGGGAAGACGGUCCUAUGGAUUGUAAACCUCUUUUGUCGGGGAGCAAAAGACGCCACGCGUGGCGUUCCGAGAGUACCCGAAGAAAAAGCAUCGGCUAACUCCGUGCCAGCCGCCGCGGUAAUACGGAGGAUGCGAGCGUGAUCCGGAUUUAAUGGGUUUAAAGGGUGCGCAGGCGGAAGAUCAAGUCAGCGGUAAAAUUGAGAGGCUCAACCUCUUCGAGCCGUUGAAACUGGUUUUCUUGAGUGAGUGAGAAGUAUGCGGAAUGCGUGGUGUAGCGGUGAAAUGCAUAGAUAUCACGCAGAACUCCGAUUGCGAAGGCAGCAUACCGGCGCUCAACUGACGCUCAUGCACGAAAGUGUGGGUAUCGAACAGGAUUAGAUACCCCGGUAGUC